CACCGGUUGAUCUUGAUCCAAACACCUUAGGAACUGAUGAUGCUGAAGAUGUUUCAGAAUUUUUAGGUUCUCUUGCAACUUCUAAGUUCAUCCGCAUUGACAUAGAUGAUGAUGAAGAAGAAGAAGAUUCAACUUUGUUAUCGUGAAGUUGAUUAUAAAUGAUUUAACGGGUUAGCGGUUACCAUUACAACCUCCUGUGGAAUACCCAAUUUCUACACAUGCAAAGUGUAUUCACUGUAACAAACUAUUUCCUGUCGACCCUUUUAGGAAUGA